AGUGGGUUAGCUGGGUCAAAUGGUGGUUCCAUUCCUAGGUUUUUGAGGAAUCUCCAAACUGCUUUCCAGAUUGGUUGCACCAAUUUGCCGUCCCAUCAACAAU
rnacentral:pre_miRNA from 1 species